GGAGGGAUGGCCGAGUGGACGAAGGCGGCGGUCUUGAAAACCGCUGUGGGCCUCGCGCCCACCGUGGGUUCGAAUCCCACUCCCUCCG
rnacentral:tRNA from 1 species